rnacentral:miRNA from 1 species
CAAGGCUCAUGCAGACAUGCA